rnacentral:rRNA from 1 species
CAAGCGAAUAGUGAAAUCACAUGGCUCAACCUUCAGACUAUUAUUCAAACUCGUAUGCUCGAGAAUGGUAGAGGUAGCUGGAAUUUCUAGUGUAGGAGUGAAAUCCGUAGAUAUUAGAAGGAACACCAAUGGCGUAGGCAGGCUACUGGACCAUUUCUGACACUAAGGCACGAAAGCGUGGGAGCGAACCGGAUUAGAUACCCGGGUAGUCACGCCGUAAACGAUGGAUACUA